UACGGGGGGGGCAAGCGUUGUUCGGAAUUACUGGGCGUAAAGGGCUCGUAGGCGGCCAACUAAGUCCGACGUGAAAUCCCCGGGCUUAACCUGGGAACUGCGCUUGUUACUGGCAGGCUUGAGUGUGGCAGAGGGGGGUGGAAUUCCACGUGUAGCAGUGAAAUGCGUAGAGAUGUGGAGGAACACCGAUGGCGAAGGCAGCCCCCUGGGCUAACACUGACGCUCAUGCACGAAAGCGUGGGGAGCAAACAGG
rnacentral:rRNA from 1 species